rnacentral:tRNA from 1 species
GGGGAUUUAGCUCAGCAGCAUAAGCACUUGCCUUACAAGCAUGUGACUGAGAGUUCAAUCCCCG